AGAGUUUGAUCCUGGCUCAGAACGAACGCUGGCGGCAGGCCUAACACAUGCAAGUCGAACGAGAAGCCGGAGCUUGCUCUGGUGGACAGUGGCAGACGGGUGAGUAACGCGUGGGAAUUUGCCUAGUGGUACGGAAUAACGCAGGGAAACUUGUGCUAAUGCCGUAUACGCCCUUCGGGGGAAAGAUUUAUCGCCAUUAGAUAAGCCCGCGUCGGAUUAGCUUGUUGGUGGGGUAAAAGCCUACCAAGGCGACGAUCCGUAGCUGGUCUGAGAGGAUGAUCAGCCACACUGGGACUGAGACACGGCCCAGACUCCUACGGGAGGCAGCAGUGGGGAAUAUUGCACAAUGGGCGCAAGCCUGAUGCAGCCAUGCCGCGUGAGUGAAGAAGGCCUUAGGGUUGUAAAGCUCUUUCAGUGGUGAAGAUAAUGACGGUAGCCACAGAAGAAGCCCCGGCCAACUCCGUGCCAGCAGCCGCGG
rnacentral:rRNA from 1 species